rnacentral:rRNA from 1 species
CCUACGGGGGGCAGCAGUGAGGAAUAUUGGACAAUGGAUGGAAAUCUGAUCCAGCCAUGCCGCGUGCAGGAAGACGGCCCUAUGGGUUGUAAACUGCUUUUAUACGGGAGCAAUAAGGUCUAUGCAUAGAUUGAUGAGAGUACCGUAUGAAUAAGCAUCGGCUAACUCCGUGCCAGCAGCCGCGGUAAUACGGAGGAUGCGAGCGUUAUCCGGAUUUAUUGGGUUUAAAGGGUGCGUAGGCGGCUUUGUAAGUCAGCGGUGAAAUUUUGCAGCUUAACUGUAAAAGCGCCGUUGAUACUGUGAAGCUAGGAUUUGGUUGCUGUGGGCGGAAUGUGUGGUGUAGCGGUGAAAUGCAUAGAGAUCACACAGAAUAUCGAUUGCGAAGGCAGCUCACAAAGCCAAUAUUGACGCUGAGGCACGAAAGUGUGGGGAUCAAACAGGAUUAGAUACCCGUGUAGUC